CAGUAGCCACGGUACUACGAAGGGGGCUAGCGUUGUUCGGAAUUACUGGGCGUAAAGCGCACGUAGGCGGAUAUUUAAGUCAGGGGUGAAAUCCCAGAGCUCAACUCUGGAACUGCCUUUGAUACUGGGUAUCUUGAGUAUGGAAGAGGUGAGUGGAAUUCCGAGUGUAGAGGUGAAAUUCGUAGAUAUUCGGAGGAACACCAGUGGCGAAGGCGGCUCACUGGUCCAUUACUGACGCUGAGGUGCGAAAGCGUGGGGAGCAAACAGGAUUAGAUACCCGCGUAGUCCCUGUCCUUAUACA
rnacentral:rRNA from 1 species